rnacentral:rRNA from 1 species
UACGUAGGGUGCGAGCGUUAAUCGGAAUUACUGGGCGUAAAGUGUGCGCAGGCGGUUUCGCAAGUCAAGUGUGAAAGCCCCGGGCUUAACCUGGGAACUGCGCUUGAAACUACGGAACUCGAGUAUGGCAGAGGAAGGUGGAAUUCCACGUGUAGCGGUGAAAUGCGUAGAUAUCAGGAGGAACACCGGUGGUGUAGACGGCUCUCUGGACCGUAACUGACGCUGAGACACGAAAGCGUGGGUAGCAAACAGG